AAAAACCGACCCGACCCGAUGACCCGACCCGACCCGAUUCGGUUCGGUUCGGGUUGGAUCGGUUAGUAACAACAAUGUUACUGGACCGAACCGACCCGAUUUAAUUCGGUUCGGGUCGGGUCGGGUUUAAAAUACCCGAUUAGGUCAAUAUUCAUUUCCUCUCCUCUUCGAUUCUUCUUCAGUCUUCAGCAUUUCCUCUCCUCCUCCAAAGUUCAAAAACCAUUUUGUUCCAUCGUUUGGCGUCGGCAUCUACCUCUUCGUCUGCAUCAGCGUCGGCAUCUAUCUCUUCGUGUUCAUCGGCGUCGGCAUCUCUUCGUCUUCAUCACUUCGCCACUCCAUCGUCAUCGCCUAUUAAAAGAUGUGGGGAAAUGGCUCGGAAGCUACGAUUUUUCAAGGAGCAAAUGGCAAGGGCUGGUUUAUCACCAUCAUCCCAUUCUUUAGGGACUCCUGAUUUUGAUCUGGAUAAUUUGGAGUAGCCUUUCCUCGCCUUUGGCAGGUUAAACUUGGAGAAUUUGAAGUAGAGCUGUUAGAGAUAAAGGACAACAACGAGAAGUUACAACGCAAUUAUAGUGAGCUAUUGGAAUACAAGCUGGUGCUUGAGAAGGUUGGUGAGUUUUUUCAUCUAGCUCAAAGCAUAGCUGCAGCUCAUCAAAGAGAACUGGAAGUGCAGCAAAACGGGGAAGGAUAUAUUGACACUCCCUUAUUAUUACAUCAGUCAGUUGUAGGAUCUAUCUUAUAUAACUUCUUAGAUAAGUGCUAAGGAAGGAGGAGAAAAAAAAAAAAAAAAAAAAAAAAAAAAAAAAAAAAAAAAAAAAAAAAAAAAAAAAAAGACCCGACCCGACCCGACCCAAUCGGCCCAACCGGAAUGUGGGUUGGGUCGGGUCGGGUCGGGUUUCAGAAUCAACCGUACAUUUCGGGUCGGGUCGGUUUUGAAGAAAACCCGACCCGACCCGACCCAAUUACACCCCUAUGUCUAUAUGCAAAAUUAUGUUUGGUUUGUACUCUA